rnacentral:misc_RNA from 1 species
GAUGAAGAACGUAGCGAAAUGCGAUACUUGGUGUGAAUUGCAGAAUUCCGUGAAUCAUCGAAUCUUUGAACGCACAUUGCGCCCCCUGGCAUUCCGGGGGGCAUGCCUGUCCGAGCGUCAUUUCUGCCCUCAAGCACGGCUUGUGUGUUGGGUGUGGUCCCCCCGGGGACCUGCCCGAAAGGCAGCGGCGACGUCCGUCUGGUCCUCGAGCGUAUGGGGCUCUGUCACUCGCUCGGGAAGGACCUGCGGGGGUUGGUCACCACCAUGUUUUACCACGGUUGACCUCGGAUCAGGUAGGAGUUACCCGCUGAACUUAAGCAUAUCAAUAAGCGGAGGA